AUACAAGCCACGUCAUCAGUGGGUAUGGUUCGGGUCCAAGCAGAAGUUGCCCGAACGCCUCGCUCACCGCUAUUCGUCUCCACCAGUCCACCGCACUUCCCCCCAUCCCCUACUCUCCACUGCCUUAUCCGCUCUGCUCUCGCCGGAAUCGAAGGAGAGGCGGGGACAGAGGCGAACGCCGACCGGAGGUAGGAGAGAUGCGUGGAUGGCGAUGCUGCGGGAGGGUGGCGACCGGCGGGCACCAAUCUGUCGACCUGCGGGAGGGCGGCGUCCGACGGGGGCACCAGGCUGCGGCCGUGGCGGGUGGAGAGCGCAUCCAAUGCUCGCCGGCUGCUCCCUACGGCCGGCGGAUUUCCCCUUCGUCUCCGUGCGCGGCCGCUGCUCGCGACAUGGCAAAAAUUGGGAGAACUCCAUGGCCAUGGGAUGGCAGAGGGUGGGCUGGAGGAGUACGGACGAGCGCGCAUGAGCAGGCGAGGAAGCUGAGCGAGGAGAAGGCAGUGCGAGGGAUGUCGUUGUCGGCGGUGGUUUGCCGGCCGGCGCGGAGGCGGCCUGCAAGAUCGAGCGCUGCGGCGGGUUACAGGGGGCUAAGAAGGAGAGGUAGGAUGCGGCGGCGGAGGGUACCUCGGAUGCUGGUGGUGCUCGGGAUCGAUCGGCAACGGCGGAGAGCUUCGUUCUCCCAUUCUGCAGGUUCUGCUCCCUCGAGUGGCACCGAGUAUCUAUCUGAGGAGCAGUGCUACCGUGUUGAUAUUCCAGGCAAGCAAAUCCCCCUUGAGGAUUCCAAUAAAACCCUACUCUUUAGCUCUUGCUCUUUUAUUGCAUUAUGACAACAACGAUUCAAAUGUUACUUGUUGCGGUAGUUGAACCCAUUCCUCUGCAUGACCUGUUAUUAUGACAGUAAAUAGUUAAACCUUCCUAGCAUGAUUAGGAGUUGCUUGAGCCAUGUUGUGACUUCAUCCAUGCCAUGCUUGCUAUUGCUUAGAGUUGUGUCAGGUCUGAUUCAUUUGGGAAUGAAUUGGAAUGUUGUUAUCAUGUUCUAAUGUUGAGAACUAAGCGUGUGAACACGAUUUGGUAAAGGUAGCGAUGAGAGGCCAAGUAGGAGUACAUGGUGGGUUGUCUCAUUGAGACCGUCCUUAAGAACUGAGUUCUGUGUAUUGUAUCCAAGGCAGUUACUACCACACAUUGGGCUCGAAACCAAUGACCCCUCUCAAGUUAUUAAUCGCCCCGAUCUCUGUCCAGGAGUUGCAACUAGUUUAUGGUGUUUAUAGGUCGUGCUAUUUGUCUACCAAGUGGCACCCGACCAACUAGGCUUGGGACAGACUAGGCACAGUGGCACAAUGUAUCAAGCGUAGUUCCAUCCGGUGGGGUGGGCUUGGGAACCCUGCACACAUCGUUUGGGGCCGUAAUGGAAACUUCGGCCGGACUUCCCUUGCGGGUUCAGCCUCAGAUAGGCGAUAAACCUAGACUAGAGUCUCGUGUGGUUAGUCAGGUAGUGGCCGACACCCUCGCCAGGCUUCCGCUUGAAGGUUGCCGAGAUACUUGACGUGUAUAUUUUGGUAAGUGGUGAGAGCGUGUGUGAAGAAGUACACCCUUGCAGGGGUAAUGAUCUAUUCAAAUAGUCUCGUUCGCGGAUAUGGACUACUUGGAGACUUAUAUGGUUAAUAGAUAACCUGAAGUGGAUACCCUAAAAUGCGCAAGAUAAGCGUGAGUGAUAUGGAUGGCCUUCUCAUUGGGAGACGGGAGAGAAUCCAUAGUGGUGUAUUGUUGUGGUGGUUAGUGUACUUGUGGGCGUUUUAUCACCUCAAAGGAAUUACUGGUAGUCGUAGUACAGGAUAGCCAGUGAGUGAAAGUUGGCUUGCUGCAGUUAAACCCCACAACCCCCUUUAUUGAUACUGAUGCAUAUGUAGAUAGUUCAGAUGUAAGUCUUGUUGAGUACCUUUGUACUCGCAGGUGCUUAAUUUAUGUUUUUGCAGAGGAGACCUCAGUAUCUCUAGUAGUUCCACGUGGGCUUCGACAAGUAGCUUGGGAAUCCCAGACAGAGGUCUGGUUCCUAUGAAGGGUCUUGUAGAUAGUCAGGCUUCUUAACCUUUUCUUUUGUAGAUGUCUAUACUCAGAAUGUUUAUGCUUUCGUUGCUUAUAUGCUUUGUAUGAUGGGUCAUGUGACCCCUGUUUGUAAUAUC
rnacentral:rRNA from 1 species